UCGAAGCGAUCGCUCAUGUUUUAUUCGACAGGUCUGCGUCAGUUCCUUUUCGUGGCCAUCGUCGUUGCGUGUCCCGGAGAUAGCAGCAGCGGCUGCAUUGGCACGACACGGAGCUGCCUGUGACCUCACGGCCACCGGGGAUGAGGGUGGGAUGCUGCGGCCCAAGCCAGGGGAGGAGGCUGGCGCCGAGACCCAGCCGCAGCUGAGCCCCGCACCCGCUUCAGAGCCGGUCGUGGGGAAACAGUUCUCCUGAUUUGUUGGAAAAUGAGACUCGCCCUGCUUUACGCUGCAGCGCUGGCCAGAGAACUGCUACUGCUUGGUUCAGAUCCUGGCUGCCGUCCUAAGUAGCUGCUCUUUCUUCACGCCAGAGUUGUCUCACCAGGAGCCCCUCAGCAGCCAGGGCGCUCACUGUGCUCCGGACUGCCCACAGGAUGAGUAAGAGAUACUUACAGAAAGCAACGAAAGGGAAACUGCUGAUCAUAAUAUUUGUCGUCACCCUGUGGGGGAAGGUUGUCUCCAGCGCGAGCCACCACAAAGGUGACCCACUAGCCGAGCAUGAGGCGAGGGACCCUCAAGGCUGAUUACGCUGCACAAAUGCACAGAAACUUAACCCCGGAGGGGAUCCCGCGGCCUUCACGCCGCUCAGAGGUGGUCCCCCGAGUCCUGCUUAGGGUUCCCGGCUCAUCGCCCGCCGCUUCUGGAAAUCAAGACUGAAAAAGUCAGCCACGAACGGUGUGCUGCAGACUGCGUCACACUCGCACUGUGUCCUGCUGGUAAAACUGCACUUGACCAAAGGAGUUGAAAGCUGCUCUCUGAAGCGCCAGCGAGGACUCGGUACUCCUGGGUUUGUCCGUCAGCAGCCGCGUGGGCCCCCGACUCCAGGGUGGCGGCCUCGCCUCGGCGCCUGCAGGGCGCGGGCUUCCCGACGGACCGCGCCCGGAGCGAGGGCCAGGACGCGGCCUGGCGAGCUUCUCCUUCGGCCUGGUGUGGACCGAGUUUCUCCGGACCCUGGGCCUGCAGCUCCGGAAGCCCGCAUCUUUUAGCAUCUUAACGUUGCUUUUGUUGAAGGAAUGGAAAUAUAUACCCAUUGGUAGUAGCUGUUGUUGGCAAGUCAUAGUUAUGAGUGCAUCGGUCACACGAGAGGGUGCGGCCAGGCUGACGUGUCUCCCCAAGGCUCUCACGCUCCCGCCGCUGCCAGUUAACGUGUAGUAGUUAGGACUGGACGCCAGUUUCAUUACAGACGUUCGCCCCCCUGAAGCGCCCUCCCCUUUCGCUUUCAUUUUCGUGUUUACUUUCCCCCUCACAGAAAUCAGCAGUGAGCAGUCAAGUUCGCAGGCAACUUCCAGGGAUGCAUGUAGGUUUCUGAUUCCUUAGCUUGAGAGUCACUCUCUUAGCUGUCUCUGGUACUGUUUAACCGUCCUUUCUCACGUUAAGGCUGCCUCUUGCCCUGGCUCAACGGCCGUUUGAAUGCUUAUGUAUUUGUUCGACCUCUUGAUAGAAUUGUCCAUUUUCCUCGGUCGCAAACUCUGAAGUAAUGUUUCCGGUAGCCUGUUCACAGGGUUCCUUAGGUCAGUUUUUGCCACAUUUUGUAGUCAUCUUAACAUUUGUGGUUUUCAGUUCUCCGCGAAAGUCUAUAAAUAUUCAAAGGCCUUAAACAUGUAUGUACAUUCCCCCUAAGUUACGGCAGGACGUGCAGCUUUAUGCGUCCCCCAUUGUGAUGUGCAGGGAGUGAGUGUGGCUGCGCAGCCACGCUGUCGGAGCGUGUGUGACCGCGUGGUUUGAAGGAGUGUAAGGAGAGACGUAGGUGUUUUCUCGUCGUAGACUAGUGGGAAGGUACUUCAGAAACCGGCCCUGACACGUACCAUUACGUUAGAGGCAAGGUGGCCAUCGUUUGCUUUUUCAAACUAACUGACACGACCGCGUGGGUGAAUGCCAGGUUCAGGGAUGAAGGCCAGCUCACCCUGGAGAGUUCUGCUGUGUUCCUUGGUAACAACUUGCACAGACCAGGAACAUUUUCCAACAUCUUUUCUAAGUAGAACUCAAAGGAUAAAAGUUGGCUAAAAAUUCAAUUUGUAAAGUAUACCUCUGACCCUGACCUAGAGUACGCUUUCCCGCGGGUCCCAUGGAAUGAAAUCACAUCCUCCCUCCAUUUUGAUUAUGCACAAGGCCAGCUAGACGGGUCUGAGCGGAUACCGCAGUGGCUCAAGCCUGUGAGGAGCGAAGGCGUGGCCUCCAUGUCAGUCAUUACGUGCAUUUCCUUGGAACAGUGUGCAAACAGUGUUUCAGAAAUUGAGUUUGUCUUAGACUUGUUUGAAAUUAUAGACCUGACUUGUCAUUUUUUCUAUGUUCUUUAAAACACUGGACAGUCUGUAUUAUAUAUGUGUAAUACAUGCAUAUCAGUAGGACAAAAUAAAUGGAAUUUCAACUAUACUAAGUAGAUUUCCCCCAGUAGAUUAUAAUGUUGUGAUUAUUCAGAAAAGAUGAAUAAAAUUGGGAUAUAAAGUACUCUUUUAUGGGUUC